AGUUUUGCGCAGUGGUAGUAUCGUAGUCUAUGAAGGCCUACUGAGGCGUGAUUAUUGCUAUUUGAAAACUUUACCCUAUGAACCUAUGGAGAUGGGUACAGGCUGGCAAGGGAAUGAGUUAUAAUUAUAUG